UAAGAUGGACAGCAGUGCCCUAAUGGGUAUCAUCAUCAUGAACAGUCUUGUUACGCUGUUGUAACUUUCAGAGCUGACUGGUUUGAUGCUGAGACAAUGUGUCAAGCAGCUGGUAGUCAUCUGGCUUCUAUUGAAACAGACGCAGAGCGACUUUAUCUAAACCAAUAUAUUAACUUUUUACACGGAACUAGUUAUAACCAUUAUUUUAUUGGUGCAUUCAACUAUAUCGAUGGUACCUACCAAUGGACUCGUAACCAAGUUGGGUUAGGUCAGAUACCUUGGAAUACUGGAGAACCAUCAAGACAAGGUGGUGAACAUUGUCUAGCAAUGGUACAGAACAGUCACUCUCUAUUUGCGGACAUUAGUUGUUAUUCACUACAAGCAUUCAUCUG